rnacentral:rRNA from 1 species
AGAGUUUGAUUCUGGCUCAGAACGAACGCUGGCGGCAGGCUUAACACAUGCAAGUCGAACGCCCCGCAAGGGGAGUGGCAGACGGGUGAGUAACGCGUGGGAAUGUACCCCAAGGUUCGGAACAACGCCGGGAAACUGGCGCUAAUACCGGAUGUGACCGAGAGGUGAAAGAUUUAUCGCCUUGGGAUCAGCCCGCGUUAGAUUAGCUAGUUGGUGGGGUAAUGGCCCACCAAGGCUACGAUCUAUAGCUGGUCUGAGAGGAUGAUCAGCCACACUGGGACUGAGACACGGCCCAGACUCCUACGGGAGGCAGCAGUGGGGAAUCUUGGACAAUGGGCGCAAGCCUGAUCCAGCCAUGCCGCGUGAAUGAUGAAGGCCUUAGGGUUGUAAAAUUCUUUCGCCGGGGACGAUAAUGACGGUACCCGGAGAAGAAGCCCCGGCUAACUUCGCGCCAGCAGCCGCGGUAAUACGAAGGGGGCUAGCGUUGUUCGGAAUUACUGGGCGUAAAGCGCGUGUAGGCGGAUUUUUAAGUCGGGGGUGAAAUCCCAGAGCUCAACUCUGGAACUGCCUUCGAUACUGGGAAUCUGGAGCAAGAUAGAGGCGGGUGGAAUUGCGAGUGUAGAGGUGAAAUUCGUAGAUAUUCGCAGGAACACCAGUGGCGAAGGCGACUCGCUGGAUCUUUGCUGACGCUGAGACGCGAAAGCGUGGGUAGCAAACAGGAUUAGAUACCCUGGUAGUCCACGCCGUAAACGAUGAGAGCUAGUUGUCGGCACGCAUGCGUGUCGGUGACGCAGCUAACGCAUUAAGCUCUCCGCCUGGGGAGUACGGCCGCAAGGUUAAAACUCAAAGAAAUUGACGGGGGCCCGCACAAGCGGUGGAGCAUGUGGUUUAAUUCGAAGCAACGCGCAGAACCUUACCCACGCUUGACAUGUCCGGUUUGGUUUCCAGAGAUGGAUUCCUUCAGUUCGGCUGGCCGGAACACAGGUGCUGCAUGGCUGUCGUCAGCUCGUGUCGUGAGAUGUUGGGUUAAGUCCCGCAACGAGCGCAACCCUCCUUUAGUUGCCAUCAUUUAGUUGGGCACUCUAAAGGAACUGCCGGUGGCAAGCCGGAGGAAGGUGGGGAUGACGUCAAGUCCUCAUGGCCCUUACGCGUGGGGCUACACACGUGCUACAAUGGCGGUGACAAUGGGUUAAUCCCCAAAAACCGUCUCAGUUCGGAUUGUCCUCUGCAACUCGAGGGCAUGAGGUUGGAAUCGCUAGUAAUCGUGGAUCAGCAUGCCACGGUGAAUACGUUCCCGGGCCUUGUACACACCGCCCGUCACACCAUGGGAGUUGGUUUUACCUUAAGACUGUGCGCUAACCGCAAGGAGGCAGCAGGCCACGGUAAGGUCAGCGACUGGGGUGAAGUCGUAACAAGGUA